rnacentral:sRNA from 1 species
UUAACGUGAUUUAACACUACUUAACGUGAAUACCAAUGAAUUUGGUCAGUUAUAAAAUUACUAUAAGUCAUGAAAGUUAUGAAUUUCCCCAAUUUCAUGACAUUUCUCCUUAACCGAAGCUGUUUAUAACAGAUUCGUUGUUCUGCGUAAUGAUCACCCCAAUCAUUGCGCUUUUUUUUGUUUAAAAU